rnacentral:rRNA from 1 species
GAUGAACGCUGGCGGCGUGCCUAAUACAUGCAAGUCGAGCGAACAGAUGAGGAGCUUGCUCCCCUGACGUUAGCGGCGGACGGGUGAGUAACACGUGGAUAACCUACCUAUAAGACUGGGAUAACUUCGGGAAACCGGAGCUAAUACCGGAUAAUAUAUUGAACCGCAUGGUUCAAUAGUGAAAGACGGUUUUGCUGUCACUUAUAGAUGGAUCCGCGCCGCAUUAGCUAGUUGGUAAGGUAACGGCUUACCAAGGCGACGAUGCGUAGCCGACCGGAGAGGGUGAUCGGCCACACGGGAGCUGGAACACGGUCCAGACGCCUACGGGAGGCAGCAGUAGGGAAUCUGCCGCAAUGGGCGAAAGCCUGACGGAGCAACGCCGCGUGAGUGAUGAAGGUCUUCGGAUCGUAAAACUCUGUUAUUAGGGAAGAACAAAUGUGUAAGUAACUAUGCACGUCUUGACGGUACCUAAUCAGAAAGCCACGGCUAACUACGUG